rnacentral:rRNA from 1 species
CGCCUGGGGAGUGCGGCCGCAAGGUUAAAACUCAAAUGAAUUGACGGGGGCCCGCACAAGCGGUGGAGCAUGUGGUUUAAUUCGACGCAACGCGAAGAACCUUACCUGGCCUUGACAUCCAGAGAGCUUUCCAGAGAUGGAUUGGUGCCUUCGGGAACUCUGAGACAGGUGCUGCAUGGCCGUCGUCAGCUCGUGUCGUGAGAUGUUGGGUUAAGUCCCGUAACGAGCGCAACCCCUAUCCCUGGUUGCUAGCAGGUAAUGCUGAGAACUCCAGGGAGACUGCCGGUGACAAACCGGAGGAAGGUGGGGAUGACGUCAGGUCAUCAUGGCCCUUACGGCCAGGGCUACACACGUGCUACAAUGGCGCGUACAGAGGGCUGCCAACUCGCGAGAGUGAGCCAAUCCCUCAAAACGCGUCGUAGUCCGGAUCGGAGUCUGCAACUCGACUCCGUGAAGUCGGAAUCGCUAGUAAUCGCGAAUCAGAAUGUCGCGGUGAAUACGUUCCCGGGCCUUGUACACACCGCCCGUCACACCAUGGGAGUGGAUUGCACCAGAAGUAGUUAGUCUAACCUUCGGGAGGACGAUUACCACGGUGUGGUUCAUGACUGGGGUGAAGUCGUAACAAGGUAACCGUA